rnacentral:rRNA from 1 species
UACGUAGGGUGCAAGCGUUGUCCGGAAUUAUUGGGCGUAAAGGGCUCGUAGGCGGUUUGUUGCGUCGGGAGUGAAAACUUACAGCUUAACUGUGAGCGUGCUUCCGAUACGGGCAGACUUGAGGUAUUCAGGGGAGAACGGAAUUCCUGGUGUAGCGGUGAAAUGCGUAGAUAUUCGCAAGAACACCAGUGGCGAAGGCGGCUCACUGGCCCGAUACUGACGCUGAGGCACGAAAGCGUGGGGAGCAAACAGG